AUCGGGUGGAGCAACUGCUGCUGGAGGCGGUCCGAGGAGAGAUCCUCACCUUUAGAAAGGUGAGAGGGACACUCGGAGUAGAGCGCUGGGGUAUGAGACACUUCAGCUGUGAACCACGCGUCCUGGCCCUGCCAAGUGCCUUGGGGAGCGGCACAGAGCUGUCUGGUGCAGUCUGCGCCUAGGUGUUACCUCAUACUCGACGAGAAAGAAAUACUGAGACUCGUAUUGAGGUACUAUUUUGGCGACCCAGCUGGAACAAAUGCUUCUAGACCUCUAUGGACCCUGGGACUGCAGAACGUCCAGCUGGCACCGAGGACUUCCUUGGGAAGAACCCUGAUUCCUGAGAGCUUGAAGUAAGACCCCUGCCCAGCUGAUAGAAGGGGUAUCUGAGCAUGACUGUCUACAGACCAUUGAAGAAGCCUGCUCCAGUUGUCCAGACUUGAAGGAUGCUCCAUUAGGAAAACUGGACUACGAACUAUAUAACAUAAGAACGAUAUGGAGCUGUUGGAUCAAGUCCAGAGGAAGGCCACAAGGAUUGUAAGAGGGCUGCAGCACCUCCCACAGGAAGACAGGCUGAGAAAAUUUGGGCUGUUCAGCCUGGAGAAGAGAAGGCUGUGUGGGGACCUCAUAGCAGCCUUCCAGUAUCUGAAGGGGGCCUAUAACGAUGCUGGAGAGGGACUCUUCAUCAGGGAUUGUAGCAAUAGGACAAGGGGUAAUGGGUUAAAAGUUAAAUUGGAAGUUUAGGUUAGAUAUAAGGAAGAAGUUCUUUACUGUGAAGGUGGUGAGGCACUGGAAUGGGUUGCCCAAAGAAGUGGUAAAUGCUGACAGUGUUCAAGGCUAGGUUGGACAGAGCCUUUGGCAACAUGGUCUGGUGUGAGGAGUCCCUGUCCAUAGCAGGGGGGUUGGAACUUGAUGAUCUUAAGGUCCUUUCCAACACAAACCAUUCUAUGAUUCUGUAUACAGAUGGUAGUAUUUUUAUGUGAGAACAAAGCAUAUGUUGGGCUAUGCAGUGAUUGCUGCAUGUAACAGAGGUGAAGGUCCUUCUCCUGAAAACAUCAGCACAAAAGGCAGAACUGGUAGCUGUCACCCAUACCUUGGAAUUGAGCAAAGGAAAAGUUGUCUGUAUUUGGAUGGACCUUUGGAGUAGUUCAUGCCCAUGAAGCCGUACGGAAAGAAAGA